UACAUAGGUGGCAAGCGUUGUCCGGAAUUAUUGGGCGUAAAGCGCGCGCAGGCGGUCCUUUAAGUCUGAUGUGAAAGCCCACGGCUCAACCGUGGAGGGUCAUUGGAAACUGGGGGACUUGAGUACAGAAGAGGAAAGCGGAAUUCCACGUGUAGCGGUGAAAUGCGUAGAGAUGUGGAGGAACACCAGUGGCGAAGGCGGCUUUCUGGUCUGUAACUGACGCUGAGGCGCGAAAGCGUGGGGAGCAAACAGG
rnacentral:rRNA from 1 species